rnacentral:tRNA from 1 species
GCGCCGGUAGCUCAGCGGCAGAGACAACCGCCUCUUAAGCGGUGGGCCGAGGGUUCGAGUCCCUCCCGGCGUAC